rnacentral:rRNA from 1 species
UACGGAGGGUGCAAGCGUUGUUCGGAAUCACUGGGCGUAAAGGGCGCGUAGGCGGCUACAAAAGUCCGAUGUGAAAGCCCGGGGCUCAACCCCGGAAGUGCAUUGGAAACUUUGUGGCUUGAGUUCGGGAGAGGAGGGCAGAAUUCCCGGUGUAGGGUUGAAAUCCGUAGAUAUCGGGAGGAAAACCGGUGGCGAAGGCGGCCCUCUGGAACGAAACUGACGCUGAGGCGCGAAAGCGUGGGGAGCAAACAGG